rnacentral:rRNA from 1 species
UGGGGAAUAUUGGACAAUGGGCGCAAGCCUGAUCCAGCCAUGCCGCGUGUGUGAAGAAGGCCUUUUGGUUGUAAAGCACUUUAAGCGAGGAGGAGGCUACUUGGAUUAAUACUCUAGGAUAGUGGACGUUACUCGCAGAAUAAGCACCGGCUAACUCUGUGCCAGCAGCCGCGGUAAUACAGAGGGUGCGAGCGUUAAUCGGAUUUACUGGGCGUAAAGCGUGCGUAGGCGGCUUCUUAAGUCGGAUGUGAAAUCCCUGAGCUUAACUUAGGAUUGCAUUCGAUACUGGGAAGCUAGAGUAUGGGAGAGGAUGGUAGAAUUCCAGGUGUAGCGGUGAAAUGCGUAGAGAUCUGGAGGAAUACCGAUGGCGAAGGCAGCCAUCUGGCCUAAUACUGACGCUGAGGUACGAAAGCAUGGGGAGCAAACAGG